AAUGCCUCCGUCGCUCCCACCAUCACCAUCAACAAUCCAUUAUUGUUUUACAAAUUCCACCAUCAUCGUCGAAGUCGCCGCCUCCAAAUUAUGAACAAACAGAUUGAGAAGUAUGAUUAAUUAUCUUCUUUUCCUUUUUCUUUUCUGGAUUUGUUCUUUCGAUCUAUUCACUUACAGAUCCAAAUUCAAAUUCAUUCAUUUUCUCAAUUGGUUGAUGGAGAUAAAAGAGAUCGCAUCGUUUAGCUUCGUUCCCUUGUUUAUUAAGUUUCUGCUGGUGCCGUAUGGCGGUGGUGUAACUAGUUUUUCUUCUCGCUAUGAAACAACAAAGGUAUACAAAUAUUGGUGGGUAUGGUGAUUUCCGCUCGAUUUAUACUGAUGUGGUGGUCGUUGGAUUGAACCUUCUCUUAUUGGAUUAGUAGCGCCUUAAAUUGCAGUGAACUUCUGCAUUUCUACCUGUGAGCUAACCCUUUCCGAAGAUUUUUUUUUUGUUGUUGUAAUCAUUGUUGGAAACUGCAGUGCUGACUUAAUGGUGAUUAAUCUCAGUAUUAUUGCCAACAGGUAUCAUUGAUCGCGAUGGUGUCUUCAGCUUAUGCAGGGGUUUUCUGCCAAUUUCAUAUAGUAUUAUAUGCGAGUUAAUGGUCAUGUAGUCGUAUUUUGGGUAUUAUAGAUGUGGAUUUCAUGGGAAUGCUAAGAACUGUGUAGCCAAUAUAUUCUGGAAGUAUCAUAUUUAGAUUGUCGCUUAUCAUUCCAUCACAGUACAAUUCUUCUUAUUUGUUUUGCAGGAAAAUGGGUAGAAUGUUGAAGUUUUUCGCCUUUCAAACGCUUGAUUCUUUUUAAAUUGAAAUGUACGGGGCAAUCGACUAUCUUGGUUAUCCUUUCGAACAUUGUAAUUUUAUCAAACUUUUAAAUUGCGUGUUCUGCAAGCUGUUGGAGGAAGAAUUGUUGUUCUUAUUGAUGGGGAAUUCGACGUGGAACUGGUGUAUUCAAAGCUUUAGCUCUUGGAGGUCAGGGUUCUUUGGUGGUGGCGGCGUCAGAGGUGAUGGCAGUAGCGGACUGAUGGCAGCGUCAGUGGAUUAGUGGUGGUGGUGGCGGCGGCGGCGAUGG